rnacentral:rRNA from 1 species
GAAGGCGCUCUGCUGGGCCAUCACUGACGCUCAUGGACGAAAGCCAGGGGAGCGAAAGGGAUUAGAUACCCCUGUAGUCCUGGCCGUAAACGAUGAACACUAGGUGUCGGGGGAAUCGACCCCCUCGGUGUCGUAGCCAACGCGUUAAGUGUUCCGCCUGGGGAGUACGCACGCAAGUGUGAAACUCAAAGGAAUUGACGGGGGCCCGCACAAGCGGUGGAGUAUGUGGUUUAAUUCGAUGCAACGCGAAGAACCUUACCAGGGUUUGACAUCCUGCGAAUCUCUUGGAAACAGGAGAGUGCCUUCGGGAACGCAGUGACAGGUGGUGCAUGGCUGUCGUCAGCUCGUGUCGUGAGAUGUUGGGUUAAGUCCCGCAACGAGCGCAACCCACGUCUUUAGUUGCCAGCAUUUAGUUGGGCACUCUAGAGAGACUGCCGGUGAUAAACCGGAGGAAGGUGUGGAUGACGUCAAGUCAUCAUGCCCCUUACAUCCUGGGCUACACACGUACUACAAUGCUACGGACAAAGGGCAGCAAGUUCGCGAGGACAAGCAAAUCCCAUAAACCGUGGCUCAGUUCAGAUCGUAGGCUGCAACUCGCCUACGUGAAGGCGGAAUCGCUAGUAAUCGCAGGUCAGCAUACUGCGGUGAAUACGUUCCCGGGCCUUGUACACACCGCCCGUCACACCAUGGAAGUUGGCCACGCCCGAAGCCGUUACUCCAACCCUUGUGGAGGAGGACGUCGAAGGUGGGGCUGAUGACUGGGGUGAAGUCGUAACAAGGUAACCGUAG